UGCUGGAGCCAACACCUUGUGCCAUGCC
rnacentral:piRNA from 1 species